ACGCUGGCGGCGUGCCUAAUACAUGCAAGUAGAACGCUGAAGAGAGGAGCUUGCUCUUCUUGGAUGAGUUGCGAACGGGUGAGUAACGCGUAGGUAACCUGCCUUGUAGCGGGGGAUAACUAUUGGAAACGAUAGCUAAUACCGCAUAACAAUAGGUGACACAUGUCAUUUAUUUGAAAGGGGCAAUUGCUCCACUACAAGAUGGACCUGCGUUGUAUUAGCUAGUAGGUGAGGUAACGGCUCACCUAGGCGACGAUACAUAGCCGACCUGAGAGGGUGAUCGGCCACUGGGACUGAGACACGGCCCAGACUCCUACGGGAGGCAGCAGUAGGGAAUCUUCGGCAAUGGGGGCAACCCUGACCGAGCAACGCCGCGUGAGUGAAGAAGGUUUUCGGAUCGUAAAGCUCUGUUGUAAGUCAAGAACGAGUGUGAGAGUGGAAAGUUCACACUGUGACGGUAGCUUGCCAGAAAGGGACGGCUAACUACGUGCCAGCAGCCGCGGUAAUACGUAGGUCCCGAGCGUUGUCCGGAUUUAUUGGGCGUAAAGCGAGCGCAGGCGGUUUGAUAAGUCUGAAGUUAAAGGCUGUGGCUCAACCAUAGUUCGCUUUGGAAACUGUCAAACUUGAGUGCAGAAGGGGAGAGUGGAAUUCCAUGUGUAGCGGUGAAAUGCGUAGAUAUAUGGAGGAACACCGGUGGCGAAAGCGGCUCUCUGGUCUGUAACUGACGCUGAGGCUCGAAAGCGUGGGGAGCGAACAGGAUUAGAUACCCUGGUAGUCCACGCCGUAAACGAUGAGUGCUAGGUGUUGGAUCCUUUCCGGGAUUCAGUGCCGCAGCUAACGCAUUAAGCACUCCGCCUGGGGAGUACGACCGCAAGGUUGAAACUCAAAGGAAUUGACGGGGGCCCGCA
rnacentral:rRNA from 1 species